GUCUAGCUGAAAUAGCUCAGUCGGUAGAGCAUGAGGCUCUUAAUCUCAAGGUUGUGGGUUCGAGCCCCACGUUGGGCA